GCCGGGGUAGCUCAGCGGGUAGAAGGGCCUAAAGCACCCGGCUGUUAACCGGGUGGUCGUGGGUUCAAAUCCCACCCCCGGCGCCA
rnacentral:tRNA from 1 species